rnacentral:rRNA from 1 species
UUUUAUGGAGAGUUUGAUCCUGGCUCAGAGUGAACGCUGGCGGCGUGCCUAAUACAUGCAAGUCGAACGAUGAAGCUUCUAGCUUGCUAGAAGUGGAUUAGUGGCGCACGGGUGAGUAAGGUAUAGUUAAUCUGCCCUACACAAGAGGACAACAGUUGGAAAC